rnacentral:rRNA from 1 species
GUUUGAUCCUGGCUCAAGAUGAACCCUAGCGGCAGGCUUAAUACAUGCAAGUCGAGGGGUAACAGGGGCUUCGGCCCGCUGACGACCGGCGCACGGGUGAGUAACGCGUAUGCAACCUGCCUGUAACAGCGGGAUAGCUCCCUGAAAGGGGAAUUAACACCGCAUAAGACCACGCUCUCGCAUGGGGACGGGGUAAAAUAUUUAUAGGUUACAGAUGGGCAUGCGUGACAUUAGUUAGUUGGUGAGGUAACGGCUCACCAAGACUGCGAUGUCUAGGGGUUCUGAGAGGAAGGCCCCCCACACUGGGACUGAGACACGGCCCACACUCCUACGGGAGGCAGCAGUGAGGAAUAUUGGACAAUGGAUGGAAAUCUGAUCCAGCCAUGCCGCGUGCAGGAAGACGGCCUUAUGGGUUGUAAACUGCUUUUAUACGGGAGCAAUAAGGGUUACGAGUAAUCCGAUGAGAGUACUGUAUGAAUAAGGAUCGGCUAACUCCGUGCCAGCAGCCGCGGCAAUACGGAGGAUCCGAGCGUUAUCCGGAAUUAUUGGGUUUAAAGGGUGCGUAGGCGGCCAUUUAAGUCAGCGGUGAAAUUUUGCAGCUUAACUGUAACAGUGCCGUUGAUACUGUUUGGCUAGGAUUUGGUUGUAGUGUGCGGAAUGUGUGGUGUAGCGGUGAAAUGCUUAGAUAUCACACAGAACACCGAUUGCGAAGGCAGCACACUAAGUCAUUAUUGACGCUGAGGCACGAAAGUGUGGGGAUCAAACAGGAUUAGAUACCCUGGUAGUCCACACUGUAAACGAUGAUAACUCGCUGUCGGCGAUACACAGUCGGUGGCCAAGCGAAAGCAUUAAGUUAUCCACCUGGGGAGUACGACCGCAAGGUUGAAACUCAAAGGAAUUGACGGGGGCCCGCACAAGCGGAGGAACAUGUGGUUUAAUUCGAUGAUACGCGAGGAACCUUACCCGGGCUCGAACGGUGCAUGAAUAUACGAGAGAUUGUAUAGUCCUUCGGGACAUGUAUCGAGGUGCUGCAUGGUUGUCGUCAGCUCGUGCCGUGAGGUGUCGGCUUAAGUGCCAUAACGAGCGCAACCCUUGUCAUUAGUUGCCAUCAGGUCAAGCUGGGGACUUUAAUGAGACUGCCACCGUAAGGUGUGAGGAAGGGGGGGAUGACGUCAAAUCAGCACGGCCCUUAUGUCCGGGGCGACACACGUGUUACAAUGGGAGGUACAGAGGGCAGCUAUCCGGUGACGGAAUGCUAAUCUCCAAAACCUUUCUCAGUUCGGAUUGGAGUCUGCAACUCGACUCCAUGAAGGUGGAUUCGCUAGUAAUCGCGCAUCAGCCAUGGCGCGGUGAAUACGUUCCCGGGCCUUGCACUCACCGCCCGUCAAG